rnacentral:rRNA from 1 species
GACGAACGCUGGCGGCGUGCUUAACACAUGCAAGUCGAACGGAAAGGCCCUGCUUUUGUGGGGUGCUCGAGUGGCGAACGGGUGAGUAACACGUGAGUAACCUGCCCUUGACUUUGGGAUAACUUCAGGAAACUGGGGCUAAUACCGGAUAGGAGCUCCUGCUGCAUGGUGGGGGUUGGAAAGUUUCGGCGGUUGGGGAUGGACUCGCGGCUUAUCAGCUUGUUGGUGGGGUAGUGGCUUACCAAGGCUUUGACGGGUAGCCGGCCUGAGAGGGUGACCGGCCACAUUGGGACUGAGAGACGGCCCAGACUCCUACGGGAGGCAGCAGUGGGGAAUAUUGCACAAGGGGCGGAAGCCUGAUGCAGCAACGCCGCGGGCGGGAUGACGGCCUUCGGGUGGUAAACCGCUUUCGCCUGUGACGAAGCGUGAGUGACGGUAAUGGGUAAAGAAGCACCGGCUAACUACGU